AUUUUAUUGACUUUGAGUUGAAUGAAAUCCUGUGUUUUACAGCCCCUGCAGUGAUAAUCAUUUUAAACCUGGCCGAGGAGGACAAUCUCCGCAGCAGCGGUAACGUGUGGAAGGCUGACGGCCAAACUGGGGUCCUGGUUUUGCAAGAUGAAUGAUGUGAGUCUCAACGAUGGAUAUAAUGAAGGAUGGUACCAGAGCAGAGUGGGGGACACGUUUCUGAUGGACGCCACGGCACAUGACACAUCUGGCUGAGGUUCAACCAACAUUACUUCUCAUGUCUAUCCAACAAACAACAUUUGUCUUGUGACCCUGGAUACACCAAAGAACAUCUGGUUCUCUGCUCAGUGUGCAGUCUGGUGAAAGAGUCUGGCUCAGCACCUGUUCUGAUAUUGACUCACUUCUGUAUUUGUAUGUGAGAUAUCAGGAUGCUUAGUGAGAUUGCCCAGUCCAUAGAAGUCAUGUAUGUAUUUUAGUAAAAUGUAUUUUCACUGGAAUUAAACUGCUACAAUAAAUGUACACAUGUAGUUCCACACUAAAAACA